UACGUAGGGCGCAAGCGUUGUCCGGAAUUAUUGGGCGUAAAGAGCUUGUAGGUGGUGUGGCGCGUCUGCCGUGAAAGUCCAUGGCUUAACUGUGGGUCUGCGGUGGAUACGGGCAGGCUGGAGGCUGGUAGGGGCAAGCGGAAUUCCUGGUGUAGCGGUGAAAUGCGCAGAUAUCAGGAGGAACACCGGUGGCGAAGGCGGCUUGCUGGGCCAGUUCUGACGCUGAGGAGCGAAAGCGUGGGGAGCGAACAGG
rnacentral:rRNA from 1 species